AAUGAAGUGCCUGAAAAAGGAUUAUCUUGAUAGGAUAAAUCAUGUAAACAUAACUUUACCUUCAUUAUA
rnacentral:tRNA from 1 species